GACGAACGCUAGCGGCGUGCUUAACACAUGCAAGUCGAACGGUGAAAGCGGAGCUUGCUCCGCUGGAUCAGUGGCGAACGGGUGAGUAACACGUGGGCAACCUGCCCCUCACUUCGGGAUAACUCCGGGAAACCGGGGCUAAUACCGGAUAUGACCUCCUUGGGCAUCCUUGGAGGUGGAAAGUUUUUCGGUGAGGGAUGGGCCCGCGGCCUAUCAGCUUGUUGGUGAGGUAGUGGCUCACCAAGGCGACGACGGGUAGCCGGCCUGAGAGGGCGACCGGCCACACUGGGACUGAGACACGGCCCAGACUCCUACGGGAGGCAGCAGUGGGGAAUAUUGCGCAAUGGGCGAAAGCCUGACGCAGCAACGCCGCGUGCGGGAUGACGGCCUUCGGGUUGUAAACCGCCUUCAGCAGGGAAGAACGGCCAGGAGAGUAACUGCUCUUGGAAUGACGGUACCUGAGAAGAAAGCCCCGGCUAAC
rnacentral:rRNA from 1 species